AAGUGCCCUUGUUACCGGUGUGUGAUGAGGUGGCAGUGUAUUGUUAGCUGGUUGAAUAUGUGUGUGAUAUCAGCUAACAUACAACUGCUAUCUUAUUGCAUUUACAAUGGACGUCAGAUGGU
rnacentral:pre_miRNA from 14 species